rnacentral:lncRNA from 10 species
GUUGAUUCCAGAAAGUAUCAUAUGUGGUCAGGAACAUGAGACAGAGAAAGAACGAAAACCCAAAUAAGAAUUUACUAAGUGUUGCAAAAGAUAUGAGAGCCCUGCUGGUCAUAUGACCUGACCUUGCAACAAGAAGCUAGAGGGCAGCUACAGGAAUCUCUAACUUGCUAGCCAUUGAUGUUGGGCUGCUCAUUCAGAAAGACAUCCAGCUUUGAGGAUGAAGCUUCCAGGGAAAAGGGAUGUUCAUUUCUAUUUGCUGCUUUGCUGUCUCCCCUGAAGCUGCCCUCCUACCAAAUGUACAGUUUAGAAAUCAUUUACAUUUGUUAAGCUUCACUGCCUUUCUAUCUAAAGUUAUAAAAAG